UCACUUGCUUGGGAAAGGCGGAAACCCUAUCUUGGGGGCGCCGGGCAACCGGCUAUGUCGGUAGAGUAUCGGGUGGAAUAGGCAUUUCGGACCCGGGGGGCAGUACCCCGGCGCCUCCACCACCAGCAGCGACCCUCGCGGUUUUCGAUGCUGCUGAUGGGGGCGAAACAGGAUCGACGAGUGCAAUAAAGGCCUGGUUGCCGAUCGGUAUGAGACCACCGUGACGGCUCGUUCACACAAGUGCCAACGAUAACGAGGCUCUUGCUAUUGCUGCCUAACUGAGGGCCUAACGGUCUGAAGUUAAGUGGACAAAAGCGCGGUCGGACCCCACCGGGCAACAGAAGGGGAUUCCAGCGGCUUGGAGAGCGCCGGGCAACAGAAGCUCUCCACU
rnacentral:tmRNA from 1 species